rnacentral:rRNA from 1 species
CGCCGCGUGAGUGAAGAAGGCUUUCGGGUCGUAAAACUCUGUUGUUGGAGAAGAAUGGUCGGCAGAGUAACUGUUGUCGGCGUGACGGUAUCCAACCAGAAAGCCACGGCUAACUACGUGCCAGCAGCCCGCGGUAAUACGUAGGUGGCAAGCGUUAUCCGGAUUUAUUGGGCGUAAAGCGAGCGCAGGCGGUUUUUUAAGUCUGAUGUGAAAGCCCUCGGCUUAACCGAGGAAGUGCAUCGGAAACUGGGAAACUUGAGUGCAGAACAGGACAGUGGAACUCCAUGUGUAGCGGUG